rnacentral:rRNA from 1 species
UGGGGAAUAUUGGACAAUGGGCGCAAGCCUGAUCCAGCCAUGCCGCGUGAGUGACGAAGGCCUUAGGGUUGUAAAGCUCUUUCGGCGGGGAAGAUAAUGACGGUACCCGCAGAAGAAGCCCCGGCUAACUCUGUGCCAGCAGCCGCGGUAAUACAGAGGGGGCAAGCGUUGUUCGGAAUCACUGGGCGUAAAGCGCACGUAGGUGGAUAGUUAAGUUCGGGGUGAAAUCCCAGGGCUCAACCCUGGAACUGCCUCGGAUACUGGCUAUCUCGAGUCCGGAAGAGGUGAGUGGAAUUCCUAGUGUAGAGGUGAAAUUCGUAGAUAUUAGGAAGAACACCGGUGGCGAAGGCGGCUCACUGGUCCGGUACUGACACUGAGGUGCGAAAGCGUGGGGAGCAAACAGGAUUAGAUACCCGGGUAGUCCCUGAGCGGGCUGGCAAGGCGCAU